rnacentral:lncRNA from 1 species
CAGGGAAGUGUGAACAUUUAAAAGACCAUGCUUUUAUAAAGCCCAAAUAAUGUAAACUUACAAUAAAAACCCAUUUUUCCUCUUUUGAAACUCUUCAUAUUGCUAAUAAAGUGUUAAAAACAGUCUCAUUUAUGUCAUCCAAUAUGAAAGGCAUCAAAGAAGACCUGCAUUUUCUCCGGAUUACAGUAAAAACUCUCUUCCGUGUAUCAGAUCGCCUCCCUCCUCUCCUGUCCUUCCCCCACCUUUCCCUUUCCUCUCUACAGUAAGAGUUAAAGGCACACAGGAUGUGAUGGAAUGGAAUUGAAUAACCCUACUAGGCACCAGCUGUAUUGAGAAGUGUGCAAAUUAUUCCAAGAGCUGCUUGGGCACAGGGAGUGAGCUCAUUCCACAGUGCCAAGCAGACAGCCUGGCACAUAGUAGGUACUCAAAAACAACUUCUGAAGGAACUGAAUGACUCAGGGACAUCUGUUUCCUUCCCUCCUGCUGGAGUUUUCACGCUGAUGGAUAUAGUCAUAAUUAAGCUAUAAUAUCAUAAAAGGUAGUGAUUCAAGAGACAAGUACUACAAGAGAGCUACAAAUGAAGUGAUGUGGGAUUUCAAAGAAGGAGAGAGUUCAGAGGGCUUUGGAGCAGAAGAGGUAUUUGCUCUGAAUAUUGAAAAGGUGGCAGAAUUUGAACACAUUCAUAUAAGAGAGUGGAUAAAGGCAUUCCAGGAAGAGGAGAGAGCAAAAAUAGAAAGAAUGUGCCAAGGCAGGAAAGUGAGAAAUCAUGGUGCUCCUACCAAGUAGUAGACUUUGACCUGAAGGGGCAAAACGGGAAAUAGAUUGGAAAUGCAGCCUGAGGCCAGCUCUUGGGAGAUCCAAAAAGCCAACUUACAGAAUUUGGAUUUUGUAGGCAAAACGGAGACACGGAGCAGCAACAAGAUACAGAACUUCAGUAAUAUCUAUCUGGCUACAAGAUGUAAACUUGAUUAGAAGUGGGGAGGGACAGAGACCAGGGAGAAGACUACUAUAAGUGGAACAAUGAAAAUGGAAUGUAGUGUGGAAUGCCAGAGAGCACGGAAUGGCUGGACCACAGCCUCGCAGCACAGGCGAGGAGGGGGAGUCAGUGAGGAUGGGAAGGUUUUGAGUCUGGGUAUCAGAAGAUGGAGUAUAUUUAGUGGAAAACUGAUAAUCGGUUUUGAAUCACAUGAGUAUCAGAUGACGACUGGACGGCCAGAGUAAAGGACAAAAUACAAAAGUAGAAAUGGGGCAUGUGGUGGGACAGGGAAUGGGGUUGAAAAAAAAAUUUGAGAAAAGGCAAGAAAAUGGAAAAUCAUACAAUUUUUAUGAUAAAGAUAAUAGUUUAUAAUGUGUCUGCAGAGCCCAAAGAAAGAAAAAUGCCUUAUAAUAAGUGGGAAGAUACACUCCAAGAAGCAGGCCACUUAAAACACAAUAUGUAUUGUGAAAGUUGGAGCAACACAUCUUAGAGGAUGCUGUGUUGUCAUGAAGCCUCCUUUCCUAUUAACCAAGAACAUGCCUUCCUCUGCAUCCUCAUCAAAAUUCUUGGUCACAAAAGCUGGGUAAAUGAUUGAUGAGAAAGAAACUGGUGGUUGAUGGAAAUCAAAGGAAGAAGGCAGAGGGUUUGCAGGGAGAGAAGUUUCACUCGUCAACAAAGGACAGACUCCCCUACAGUCAACUGUGCAGCUCCACCUCAAGGCCUGUAUGCAUGCACUUGGCUAGAACUGCUGCAAAGGGGCUUCUUCAGCAAUAAAUCAAGAGUGAAAGAACACGAAAUAAACCAUGUAAUUACACUUUUAAGUGACACCAGCACAGGAAUGCAAGAGAGCAAGGCAUGAGUACUCAUGGAGUUGCAUUGAUUCACUGACAUUCUUUCACCUUGUUUAGUGCCCUUUUUGAAUGACCAACAGCAUAUAUGGCUCAUGAUAUCAGGCUGGGAUUAGAAGAGCAAACUGCCAUUUGACAUAAUAAAUAAGCUAAGAAGUUCUCGUGAAUUACACAGAGACGAUGAAUAAAAUCUCUAUGUAUAA